rnacentral:misc_RNA from 1 species
GAACAAUUACCUUGCAACACCAUUUAUAGUCUUUAAGUAGAUGCAUUAUUAUUAUUCUUCAAGAGAAAAGACUAUUAUAUUUGGAUAACAGUAUUCUCACAAUUGAGCCAACAUAUAUAUGAAAGGAUAACUUUAAAAAAUGCUUGUCGUGCACAAACUGUAAAUGAAGCUAUAAUCCUUGACUGACAAUUUGAUCUAAGCACUCUUCAACUCAUGCUCUUUUUGAAACCAAACAUUCACCAAAAAAGAGUCGAAGAUGAUCUGGUUCAGAUGUGCCGCUAUGCAUGGAAGAACCAAUAAACCAGAUUCACCAAGAGCACCACCAAGCUGUUCUACUACUGCUACCAUUACAGGCAGAGUUUUCUGGCUUGCAACAAGUAAAACAGCACUAAUAUUUUGCUUCUUUGAAAAAGAUGAUUCACUACCCCCUGAAAUAGUGGAGAGUAAUGAUAUUGCCAGAGCAUUGAAAGCAAAGAGGCUGAGAUGUAGAAGCACUCCUAACACAACAGCCAGAAGAAAUACCGCUGGCUUAACCAAUAAAAGCAACGACCUCGAUCUGCUCACUUGUAUAAAAGGGGCUAGACUGAGGAGGAGAGCACUCAUCAUUGAUAAAAGCUUACGAUUUCGAUCAGAAAACUCAGCCACACCCUUGAAACAUUCUCGUAAAGCCUUCCCUAUGAUAAGAGGAACUAGAAGUGUGAGAACAAGGCUUCUGAACAACUGCUCGGCUGGAACAGACACACCAACACCAGAAGCUAUGAGCUUGGAGAUCGAAAAAGGUACAAUCAGAAUGCCUAGAAGGUUUGAUAUUAAAGUCAUCACAAGCGCAAGAGCAGAGUUUCCUCCUGCUAAACGAGUUAGUGCCACUCCACUAGAUAAUGUUGUGGGCAUACAGCUAAAUAUGGCCAAUCCUGUGACAAAUUCUUGAGGUUGAAGCUUUAGCAGCAAAAUAAUCUUGGAUAAAAGAGGAGUGAAGAACAAAAUAGAAACAAGACCAAAUAGCCCAACAGGCCAAGCUUCAGCAGCAGCACCUACUUCAUCACUACGCAAUGUAAUCCCUGAAAUUAUAAAUAUGCCGAAGGUGCUAAUUUUG